AAACGCUGUCGUUUGGGGCUCUAAUACAAAUUCUGGAUUCAAUCGGCUCUUCUGCGUUAAUUCAAAAUUACAAAAAAUAUCGGCCAUGAAGUCCCAAGAAAAAGAAAUGAAAAUUCUUCUGAAUCCACAACUUCUUCUGGUUUUCACGGUAACGAUUCUGCACCGAGUCACUGCGUUGGCACAGUGCGAACUCAGUGUAAAAGACCACGACAAGCUCUACAACUACAGCUUAGCCUCGCCGCUCUCUAAAUUUCCCCAUGGAAUCCUCAGUGAAGACGGGUUUUAUAAAGUGGCAGCAAAUGGGACUGUGCUAUUGUUUCAGCUAUGCAGUACAAUGAUAUUCAACCACGAUCCUCCUAUGUGUGUUGGCUGUAAGGACUGUGGUGGUCCAUCUCACUGUGGCAUGGGUUGCAGUGCACUUGUGUCUAACAAAAUUGAUGGUUAUCCUGUAUGUACUACUCUCGGUCUUCCAUCAAGCAUGCUUAUUGAUGUCCUUGAUAAAAAGAGUCCCCACACGGGAAUCAUAAUUAAGAUGUCAAACAAUGGACCACAGCAUAAUUGUUCACUCUCUGUGACGGUUAUAUGUAAUUCAAAUGGAGUCCAAGGCCCUCAGACAUUUGACACAGUUGGAUUUUGUGAUUAUACAUGUUCAUGUCCUGUAACUAUUCUGCAUCACAAAGGCCAAACUUGCUGGGAAUGGGUGCACUACUUUCACUUUUUCAAGUUAAUAGGUUUUCUUCCCUCCCACCCCACUGACAGACUACACAGCUAAAGCAUCCAUCAGGCUGUGCCAAGAUUAUAUCAUCUCAUGGACAAGGAUUGGGCUGGUUUGGUAUUUUUAUGGUCAUCAUCUUGUGCCUCUUCGGAGUUUACUUAUUGGCUGGUACAUUAUAUCGGUACUUCGUCCUGCACAUCUAUGGUAUAGAUGCAAUUCCAAACCUGGAUUUCUGGGCUAGCUUACCCCGUCGAAUACAGAGUCUGUUUACGUCUUUGGUGCGGAGACUCAGAGGACCAUCAUAUGGUUACCGGAGCUCAUAUUCUCCGGUUAAUUUUUGACAACGUGAUUGCCAGUGGUUAUUUUGUUCAACUUCUGAUAUGCGUACGCAUUGCAAAUUCUACUUAGAUAGCUCUGUGGAUCGAUAGAUAGCUCUGUGGAUUGACUUCUUUUACAAGCAUCGGCCUCUAUUUGAUGAAGGCUAUUAGUUUUGACUGAGGCAAUAGUCCUUAUCCUUUUGCUGGACUGUCCAACACCUAAAAGGGACAUUUAGUUUGCGAGAGUCAAUUAUUCAACUGCUCAUUUUUAUUUUUGGAAUACCAAUGGCAGAGCAUUGGUCUAAUCUUUUGCUCUUGGUGUGACGUUUGAUGGUAACAUGAUAAUGGUGGAUGUUGCAAUUUUAACUGAGUGAAGACGUGAAAUUGGAAUUGAUAUUGAUUCUUGAUGAUGAUGUUUACACUUGAUGUAUUCUCUUUGUAUAAUUGUCAAGGAUUAUGGUUUAA